UGGGGGUUCAGUGGUAGAAUUUUCACCUUUCAUGUGAGAAACUCAGGCUCAAUUCCUGGCCA
rnacentral:tRNA from 1 species